AUUGAACGCUGGCGGCAGGCCUAACACAUGCAAGUCGAGCGAGAAAGGUCUUCGGACUGAGUACAGCGGCGGACGGGUGAGUAAAGCGUAGGAAUCUACCUGGUAGUGGGGGAUAACUUGGGGAAACUCAAACUAAUACCGCAUACGCCCUACGGGGAAAGCGGGGGACCGUUCGGGCCUCGCGCUAUCAGAUGAGCCUGCGUAGGAUUAGCUAGUUGGUGAGGUAAAGGCUCACCAAGGCGACGAUCCUUAGCUGGUCUGAGAGGAUGAUCAGCCACACUGGGACUGAGACACGGCCCAGACUCCUACGGGAGGCAGCAGUGGGGAAUAUUGCGCAAUGGGCGAAAGCCUGACGCAGCCAUGCCGCGUGUGUGAAGAAGGCCUUAGGGUUGUAAAGCACUUUCAAUUGGGAGAAAGUUGGUCGUUAAUAGCGGCCAGCCCUGACAUUACCUUUAGAAGAAGGACCGGCUAACUCCGUGCCAGCAGCCGCGGUAAAGUCGUACGA
rnacentral:rRNA from 1 species